AGACUGUUGAGCACAUCAAUAAAACUAUCGCACCUGCUCUGGUUAGCAAGAAACUGAAUGUGGUAGAUCGGAAGAG